UGAUAUAACUGGAAUAUUGCUAAAAGCUGCGUAAAACCACCCUCACUCACUCACUCACUGUGCUGUGGAUUGUGUGCAGGAUUUGCUGCUGGGUUUGCCAUCACUGUGGAGCUGGAGACGGCGGAGGGGCUGACGACAGAGGUGGAGUCCAAGUGGUCACAGGCCAUGGCGGGAAAAUCAGAUCCUAAUGAUGCCAAAGUGAAGACCGAGGAUGGGUACGAAGAAGUUGGGAGUGUAUCGGAGACUGUGACAGACCAGCUGAGUGAUGACAACGACCCUGGCUCCAUCCCUGUGUCGGACAUUCUGUCACCACCCUCCAUCACCAGCAAACCAAGCAAGCCCAAGAAGAGGAAGAGAUGAGGAAAAAGGAGACUGACAAGAUAGCUGAUAGAAAGAAAGCAUGGUUGAAGUGACAUGGACCAUAACACAGACAGCAGCGUCUCCAUCACCCCGAGCACGGAGUCGGACAUCAGUGUGGUGCUUCAUCAGCUCAGAUACAGGACAUGGAUGUGUCAGUGGGUGUACAGGGUUAUCUCCCUUGUGUCACUGACCACCUGAGGAAUGAAUUGAUGGUGGCGACUGUGUGUGUCAGGACAACAUGAAGUGUGACAGAUAUGUGUUGACAUUGAAGUGAAAAGUUCCAUUGGAAGGAUAUUGAUCAUUUCCACAGACUUCUGGAAAGUAGAACUUUGGCCUAGAUUGAUAUAUAUUUAUAUAUAAAGAGGUGUUUGAGAGCAUGAAACUGUAAGUGAAAACAGUAUGUGAAUAAGAAAAGUUUGAUACGUUUUUGUCUGUGAGAAAAGACUUUGCCAGGACCAGAAUACCAUGAUCAAAAUAUAAGCCAUGAUAGACUACUCAUAGUCUGGUAUCGAGGCAAUGCUGUUACCAUGGUUACUGGUCAGCACUUUUGAUAUAAGAAAGUGUGAGCGAGUUUAUGUAGGUUCGGUCUGCUCAAUUAAAGAAAUAUUAACUUAAGAAAAGAUAUGGAUCUGCCCUUGUGAACAGACUGACUGUUUCACAAAACCUCCUUUACAGAAAAAACAAAGUUGUCAUUGUCAUUGCCCAUCUCGCCAUGUUAUUGCAUCUCUUCUGUUUCCAUCAAGUAUCCUAUGCAGAGCAACAACAAAGUAACAAUACUAUAAGAGUCAAAAUAUGCAGACAAAACGAAGGGAGGUAACUCGAUUUUUCAUUAAGUACAUUUGUUGUAUGCAGCAACUGCUAUUAAACAGGAACCAGACAUUACAUUUUCUGCUUGUUAUUUUGAGGAAGAGCCAUCGUGUAAUACUCCAUAAGCAUAACAGGGAAUACGAGGCUUUGUUGGCACUUGCUCCUGAUUGAGUCACCUGUCAUGUAACCUUUGCCGUGAUUGCUUACGUAACACAUAAAACCUUUCAGUGGGUUGCUGUAAUUCAAAAACGAAUUUUGUGGACUAUUAAUCCUGGCAUAUGGAUAGGUUGCCGGGGCAGUAUACUGUACAAAAUAAGAUAGAUAUAUGUACAGUAACAUAAGGCCAUAAUCAAUUGUUAACUUUAUUUUUAUCGGAUACUCCACCUCGCAUCAUUAUGGUGUUCCCACAGACAAACCUGUUAGUGUGUUGCAAUGUUCCUGAACCUGAUUAAAUACCCCAUACAUGUGGUCCUACCAAACACUCAGGCUGCUUGUGAAUCAUGGGUGACAGUAUAUGUACACACAUUUCUUGCACAGCUGUGUGAAAGUGUCUACAGUCGUGUAUAGGUGGUGCCCUAUUCCAAGUUAUUGUACUGACAGAUACUGCUAUGCUGUCAGGCUGCAUAUUGUAAGGACUGAAUACCCUGGAAAGAAAUAAAGAUAUAUGCACUUUUGUGUGAA
rnacentral:lncRNA from 1 species